AAGGCGCUGGCUGAGCUGGCAGGACGGGAACGGCGAGGGCGGAGGCGGCGCCACGGCUCUUAUACGGCCUCCCCGCCCUCGGAGGCGGAGAAGGGCUGGCCCACGGGGCGAGGGAGGAAGGAGGCAGGCCUGCUAGUCGUGACCGAGGCCUACAGGCAGCCAGCGAGAAGGAGAGAGAAAGCCGCCCCCGCAGGGAGGAAGCUCGAGGCGCCUAAAAUGGAGGAGGGUAGUCUUAAGAGCAUAUUUCAAGAAGACUAGAAACAGCACUCUUGAAGAAUAAAACUUGUCAGUCUUGAAAAUCUGAUAAACACUGAGCAGAAUGGGAAUGGCAGCCUACUGCCUAUCAGAAACUAAACAACAAAAGAUCUGAUUUAACAUGAAUCCUCUGAGCAAGACAUUUAGAGCCAAUGGGGAGACGUUGCCUGCCCAGUCCUGCUGCAGCAUUUACUGAAUUGCCAACAGGAUUUCUGAAGCACAGGUAGCAUUCAUCCCAGUCCUGCUGUCUGAUGAAAAUACCUCCCCCUGUCUUAUAGGAGAGCUUUACAAGGUCUUAUAACUAAAUACAAAUAUUACAAAAUU